rnacentral:rRNA from 1 species
CUCCCUGAUGUUAGCGGCGGACGGGUGAGUAACACGUGGGUAACCUGCCUGUAAGACUGGGAUAACUCCGGGAAACCGGGGCUAAUACCGGAUGGUUGUUUGAACCGCAUGGUUCAAACAUAAAAGGUGGCUUCGGCUACCACUUACAGAUGGACCCGCGGCGCAUUAGCUAGUUGGUGAGGUAAUGGCUCACCAAGGCGACGAUGCGUAGCCGACCUGAGAGGGUGAUCGGCCACACUGGGACUGAGACACGGCCCAGACUCCUACGGGAGGCAGCAGUAGGGAAUCUUCCGCAAUGGACGAAAGUCUGACGGAGCAACGCCGCGUGAGUGAUGAAGGUUUUCGGAUCGUAAAGCUCUGUUGUUAGGGAAGAACAAGUACCGUUCGAAUAGGGCGGUACCUUGACGGUACCUAACCAGAAAGCCACGGCUAACUACGUGCCAGCAGCCGCGGUAAUACGUAGGUGGCAAGCGUUGUCCGGAAUUAUUGGGCGUAAAGGGCUCGCAGGCGGUUUCUUAAGUCUGAUGUGAAAGCCCCCGGCUCAACCGGGGAGGGUCAUUGGAAACUGGGGAACUUGAGUGCAGAAGAGGAGAGUGGAAUUCCACGUGUAGCGGUGAAAUGCGUAGAGAUGUGGAGGAACACCAGUGGCGAAGGCGACUCUCUGGUCUGUAACUGACGCUGAGGAGCGAAAGCGUGGGGAGCGAACAGGAUUAGAUACCCUGGUAGUCCACGCCGUAAACGAUGAGUGCUAAGUGUUAGGGGGUUUCCGCCCCUUAGUGCUGCAGCUAACGCAUUAAGCAC